rnacentral:tRNA from 1 species
GGGCCUGUGGUCUAGUGGCUAUGACACAACCUUCACACGGUUGAGGUCCCCAGUUCGAACGCUUCGCAAAAAAGCAGGAAAGUCUGGGCGGGCCCA